UUCCUGGUGGUCUAAUGGCUAAGACUCUGCACUCCCAAUGCAGGAGGCCCAGGUUCGAUCCCAUGUCAGGGAA
rnacentral:tRNA from 1 species